rnacentral:rRNA from 1 species
AAGGCGUGACGAUUUGGGCUCUAUUUCAACAACAGACUCGGUGAAAUUGUAAUUCCGGUGAAGAUGCCGGAUACAUGCGACAGGACGGAAAGACCCCAUGGAGCUUUACUGUAGCUUGACAUUGGGUCGUGGUACUACAUGUACAGGAUAGGUGGGAGGCUUUGAAACCAGGACGCCAGUUUUGGCGGAGCCAUCCUUGGGA